CACGUAGGGCGCAAGCGUUGUCCGGAAUUAUUGGGCGUAAAGAGCUCGUAGGCGGUCCGUCACGUCCGCUGUGAAACCCAGGGCUCAACCCUGGGCUUGCAGUGGAUACGGGCAGACUAGAGGUAGGUAGGGGAGAAUGGAAUUCCCGGUGUAGCGGUGAAAUGCGCAGAUAUCGGGAGGAACACCGGUGGCGAAGGCGGUUCUCUGGGCCUUACCUGACGCUGAGGAGCGAAAGCGUGGGGAGCGAACAGG
rnacentral:rRNA from 1 species